UCAUCAUAGCCAAAAACCGGUGAGUGCGGUCUCUUCGUCGUCGAUCUCUAGGUAAAAUCGUUCAGUUUUUCCAUCCACAGACAUGUAAUCACCCUAAACUCCUUAUGCUUUUGUGUAAUAUGGAUAGAUCUGUUCUCAUUUUUGCCGGACUUUUGUUUUCUUAAAGUGUGCUGUUUGGAUCCGAGUUGGAUUUAAUUUCAAUGCAUGCCUUUUCACUCUUCUAUUUAUGAGAUAUAACUUUUUGUUUUCCUUUGUAUAUUAAGUUUUAACGCUGUUCUUCAUUGUAUAUGUUUGGCUUCCCUUCACGCUGUGGGCAUAUUGAUAUUGCUCAUCUCCAUGAUGUUAAUGUGAAAACUACCCUUAAAAGAUUUUGGUGAGUAAUCAAGGCUGGAGUCUCAAAAGGGGCUCUUUUUGCCAAAACCCUACGAUGGGGUUUUGGAAAGAAACACCGACGAGCCCGAGAAUUGGCGUAUUCUAAUGCCAUAGGCCUUUGGUUGGGGAGUUUUCCUACACAUCUGCGGAGCUUGUGCUAAUAUCCUGUGUUUCAUUAUGUGCAGGGAAUCUCUAUAUGUACACGCCUUUAUUGCAUUAAUAAAAAAAGAUUUAUUAAACUAGCAAACGGGAACUCCAUUAUUGUUGUUUUAAAAGUAAGGAAUUGUGAAGCAACAGAAGGCACUAAAUUUAUUUAUUUUUCUUUCAUUUAUGCAAAAUUUCAAAGAAUUUAGAUAAGUUAUCGAUAUUUUAAGCUCAUGGCACUCUUUUGCUGUAAAACCCUGAAGUUUUUUUUUUUCUUUUCGUGGAGCUCUUAUUAAUUAUUUUGAUGGAUUUCAAUAUUUUUUCAGAAAAUUUCAGCAAUUAAAGUGAUCGAACAUGUUCGAUUAUGUGAGUUUGAAUUUUUUAUGAUAGAUUUUUACCUUUAUUAUUGAGUUUUGUUAGCUUUGCAGAUAGCAAUAACAAGAAGAAAUCAUGUCUCAUCGCAAGUUUGAACACCCAAGACACGGUUCUCUGGGGUUUCUGCCGAGGAAACGAGCCUCCCGGCAUAGAGGAAAAGUGAAGGCCUUCCCCAAAGAUGAUCCAACUAAACCUUGCAGAUUGACUGCUUUCCUGGGAUACAAAGCUGGAAUGACUCAUAUUGUUAGAGAAGUUGAAAAACCGGGAUCAAAGCUACACAAGAAGGAAACGUGUGAAGCAGUAACUGUUAUAGAAACACCACCUCUGGUCAUAGUUGGUGUUGUUGGUUAUGUCAAAACGCCACGUGGUCUUCGUUCUCUGAGUACCGUUUGGGCCCAGCAUCUUAGUGAGGAGGUGAAGAGGAGAUUCUACAAGAAUUGGUGCAAGUCCAAGAAGAAGGCUUUCACCAAGUAUUCCAAGAAGUAUGAAACUGAAGAUGGGAAAAAGGACAUUCAGGCACAAUUGGAGAAAAUGAAGAAGUAUUGCACCUUGAUUCGUGUUUUGGCCCAUACACAGAUAAGAAAAUUGAAGGGACUGAAGCAGAAGAAAGCUCAUUUGAUGGAGAUCCAGGUGAAUGGUGGAACUGUUGCCCAGAAGGUUGACUAUGCUUAUGGUUUCUUUGAGAAGCAGAUUCCUGUUGAGGCUGUUUUCCAGAAAGAUGAGAUGAUCGACAUAAUUGGAGUGACCAAGGGGAAGGGGUAUGAGGGUGUUGUGACCCGUUGGGGUGUCACCCGUCUCCCGCGUAAGACGCACAGAGGGCUUCGCAAAGUGGCCUGUAUUGGUGCUUGGCAUCCUGCUCGGGUUUCGUUUACGGUUGCCAGGGCUGGACAGAAUGGUUACCAUCACCGCACGGAGAUGAACAAGAAAGUUUACAGGCUUGGGAAGGCAGGCCAAGAGUCUCACUUGGCCAUGACUGAAUUCGACAGGACUGAGAAGGCAAUUACUCCAAUGGGAGGAUUCCCCACUAUGGUGCUGUGAAGGAGGACUAUCUUUUGAUAAAGGGAUGCUGUGUAGGCCCUAAGAAGCGAGUGGUGACCUUGAGGCAGUCACUCUUGAAGCAGACGUCAAGGGUUGCAAUGGAGGAGAUUAAGUUCAAGUUCAUCGAUACAUCGUCCAAGUUUGGGCAUGGCCGGUUCCAGACAACUCAGGAGAAGGACAAGUUCUAUGGGCGGGUCAAAGCUUGAUUUGCUAAGUCAGAGAUCUGUUUGUACUCUUUUUUCAUAAAUUCUGAUGUCUUUGUUCC